GGCCUGCGCGGAAGAUGUAACGGGGCUAAACCAUGCACCGAAGCUGCGGCAGCGAACGUAUCACCCAAGACAACUUUACGGAGUUGACGAUUGACGGAGCGAAGCGACGUCAAAGCGUUCAUUAAAGUCGAGUUGGCUUAGGGAUACGUUCGUUGGGUAGGGGAGCGUUCUGUAAGCCUGUGAAGGUGUGUCGUGAGGCAUGCUGGAGGUAUCAGAAGUGCGAAUGCUGACAUAAGUAACGAUAAAGCGGGUGAAAAGCCCGCUCGCCGGAAGACCAAGGGUUCCUGUCCAACGUUAAUCGGGGCAGGGUGAGUCGACCCCUAAGGCGAGGCCGAAAGGCGUAGUCGAUGGGAAACGGGUUAAUAUUCCCGUACUUGGUGUUACUGCGAAGGGGGGACGGAGAAGGCUAUGUUGGCCGGGCGACGGUUGUCCCGGUUUAAGCGUGUAGGUGUGUGUUCCAGGUAAAUCCGGUUCACUUUAACACUGAGGCGUGACGACGAGGCACUACGGUGCUGAAGCAACAAAUGCCCUGCUUCCAGGAAAAGCCUCUAAGCAUCAGGUAACACGAAAUCGUACCCCAAACCGACACAGGUGGUCAGGUAGAGAAUACCAAGGCGCUUGAGAGAACUCGGGUGAAGGAACUAGGCAAAAUGGUGCCGUAACUUCGGGAGAAGGCACGCUGACACGUAGGUGAAGUGAUUUACUCAUGGAGCUGAAGUCAGUCGAAGAUACCAGCUGGCUGCAACUGUUUAUUAAAAACACAGCACUGUGCAAACACGAAAGUGGACGUAUACGGUGUGACGCCUGCCCGGUGCCGGAAGGUUAAUUGAUGGGGUCAGCGCAAGCGAAGCUCCUGAUCGAAGCCCCGGUAAACGGCGGCCGUAACUAUAACGGUCCUAAGGUAGCGAAAUUCCUUGUCGGGUAAGUUCCGACCUGCACGAAUGGCGUAAUGAUGGCCAGGCUGUCUCCACCCGAGACUCAGUGAAAUUGAACUCGCUGUGAAGAUGCAGUGUACCCGCGGCAAGACGGAAAGACCCCGUGAACCUUUACUAUAGCUUGACACUGAACAUUGAGCCUUGAUGUGUAGGAUAGGUGGGAGGCUUUGAAGUGUGGACGCCAGUCUGCAUGGAGCCGACCUUGAAAUACCACCCUUUAAUGUUUGAUGUUCUAACGUGGACCCGUAAUCCGGGUUGCGGACAGUGUCUGGUGGGUAGUUUGACUGGGGCGGUCUCCUCCUAAAGAGUAACGGAGGAGCACGAAGGUUGGCUAAUCCUGGUCGGACAUCAGGAGGUUAGUGCAAUGGCAUAAGCCAGCUUGACUGCGAGCGUGACGGCGCGAGCAGGUGCGAAAGCAGGUCAUAGUGAUCCGGUGGUUCUGAAUGGAAGGGCCAUCGCUCAACGGAUAAAAGGUACUCCGGGGAUAACAGGCUGAUACCGCCCAAGAGUUCAUAUCGACGGCGGUGUUUGGCACCUCGAUGUCGGCUCAUCACAUCCUGGGGCUGAAGUAGGUCCCAAGGGUAUGGCUGUUCGCCAUUUAAAGUGGUACGCGAGCUGGGUUUAGAACGUCGUGAGACAGUUCGGUCCCUAUCUGCCGUGGGCGCUGGAGAACUGAGGGGGGCUGCUCCUAGUACGAGAGGACCGGAGUGGACGCAUCACUGGUGUUCGGGUUGUCAUGCCAAUGGCACUGCCCGGUAGCUAAAUGCGGAAGAGAUAAGUGCUGAAAGCAUCUAAGCACGAAACUUGCCCCGAGAUGAGUUCUCCCUGAGACUUAGAGUCUCCUGAAGGAACGUUGAAGACGACGACGUUGAUAGGCCGGGUGUGUAAGCGCAGCGAUGCGUUGAGCUAACCGGUACUAAUGAACCGUGAGGCUUAACCUU
rnacentral:rRNA from 1 species